GCGCGGGGGAGGUCGUGAUGGCGGCGCCGGAGGCGGAGGUUCUGUCCUCAGCCGCAGUCCCUGAUCUGGAGUGGUAUGAGAAGUCCGAAGAAACACACGCCUCCCAGAUAGAACUACUUGAGACAAGCUCUACGCAGGAACCUCUCAACGCUUCGGAGUCCUUUUGCCCAGGAGACUGCAUGGUACCGGUGGUGUUUCCUGGGCCUGUGAGCCAGGAAGGCUGCUGUCAGUUUACUUGUGAACUUCUAAAGCAUAUCAUGUACCAACGCCAGCAACUCCCUCUGCCCUAUGAACAGCUUAAGCACUUUUACCGAAAACCUUCUCCCCAGGUAGGCACAAGCUUUGGGAGCAAGUUGGUGGGGAGACUUUGUGGCUCUUAGAUGGGAGGCAGGUAGAAAGGGGGUCUAAGAAAUCUUCAAAGCCUGAGAGAAUAAGCAGCUUCCAGGGCUUCAGUCACUUUCUCCCCACUCUAGUCUUUGGUAGCCUAACCCUUCUGGCUUUUUCACCUGUUCUUUCUUUCUGAAACACGUGUUGCAUUUGGACUUCAUGAACUG
rnacentral:sRNA from 1 species